rnacentral:lncRNA from 1 species
GCGAACCAGGCGACGCUGAAGCGGCCCAUGGACUUCGGUACAAAGCUGCUGAGUCCCUGCUUCCCCGAAGCAGCCGUGCUGCACCCCUCUGCCCAGCCCCACUCCGGGCCUCAGGCCCCCGGACGCCAAGCCGCCGCCGCUUCAGACGCAGACCCUACCGCCAACUCUGCAGCAGUCCGCCCCACUCGGCAGCAAGCGGCGCCUUACAAUUCCGGAGAAAAUUUUUCAGAACAUAAAACUAGAAUACAGUCGUUAUCAGAGGUGGAGACAUUUAGAAAUUGUUCUUAAUCAGAGUGAAGCUUGUGCUUCAGAAAGUCAACCUCACUCCUCAGCACUCAUAGCACCUAGCUCUCCAGGUUCCUCAUGGAUGAAGAAGGACCAGCCCACAUUUACCCUCUGACAAAUCGGAAUAAUACGUGAGUGUGUCUUAGACUAUGAAGACAAGAUUCAGGAGGAGUAUGAGCAAAUCCUCAAUACCAAACUAGCAGAACAAUAUGAAUGAAUCUUUUGUGAAAUUCACACAUGAUCAGAUUAUGCAACGGUAUGGGACAAGGCCAACAAGCCAUGUGU